rnacentral:rRNA from 1 species
UACGUAGGGUGCAAGCGUUAAUCGGAAUUACUGGGCGUAAAGCGUGCGCAGGCGGUUAUAUAAGACAGAUGUGAAAUCCCCGGGCUCAACCUGGGACCUGCAUUUGUGACUGUAUAGCUAGAGUACGGUAGAGGGGGGUGGAAUUCCGCGUGUAGCAGUGAAAUGCGUAGAUAUGCGGAGGAACACCGAUGGCGAAGGCAAUCCCCUGGACCUGUACUGACGCUCAUGCACGAAAGCGUGGGGAGCAAACAGG